AGGUCGCGUCAGUCGGGUUUCUGCGCUUGCCGGUGUUGGGUGUGCGUCUUCCUCGACUCUUGAAUUCGUGUCAUAGUUAUUUAAAAUUUUAUAUUUAUUAAUUAAAAUAGCCUUAGCUUUAUUUGAAUUAUUUUUAGACUAUAGUGUAAUCAUUCUUAAGUGUGUCAAUUUUACGUAAAGUGUGUAUUAACCUCUAUUUAAUAAGUGUUUAAAAAUAAGUCGAUCUAUCAUUCCAAAGGCGCGCACCAUGGCCAAAACAGAAAAGUCAUUUCCGAGAAACUUUACAGGUAUGUUAGUUUUUAUCUCGGGUUUAACUUAAAUUAAUUGUUUUUUUUUAUCGUGAUGCUAUACAUUUGAACUUCCAGGAUUAGUCGAGAUUUUCUUACAUUCAGAGCUACUAUCCUUGACGGUAGAAUUAUCAUUACAAUACUUUGCUCAGUCUAACAGGAAAUAGGCAAGUUUGUUUUAAUUUUAUUUUAUUUUAACUCAGUAAACGGAUGUUCAGUCAUCAAAAAUGUUUAUCCGAUACAUCACGGCUACGAAUGUGGGAGAAUAUACUUGGCAACAAUGGCAACAUUUUAUGGCGGCGGUCGUGACGUAGGACGUGUUGGCAAGUCGCCAUUUUAAAAAUAAACGCGCCAAAGUGUCCCCUCUUGUCAGUGCAUAAUCGUAAUUCCGGUUUUCGAUAAGACCUCGAGUUUUGCAUACUGUAAUUUCUAUUUAUUAUCUUUGUCUGUGAUGUCGUCUAGGUUUAAAAUAAAAACAACUUAUUUGAGUUGUUGACAGUCGUUUCUGACAGUUUGCCAAUGGGAAUGCAAUAGAAGUCCGCGUGGUCACUGGAACACAUUUUGACAGCGUCGUCAGUAGAUACUAUUCUAUAUUCUCAAUUCUGUGAUAAGUUGUUUGUUGAUAUACAAGUUUAACAAAGGAGUCUUAAAAUGUACCAUGUGUGUGAGAAAUCCUGUAGCCCAAUGUCUUAUCAAAGGUGUUCGAUUAUUUUUCCCGAACUUACUAAUCAAAAUAAAUGAUAACUUUCCACUUGGUAAUUUUAUCUAUUAAUCUGGUAUACUAUAAAAUAAUCCAUUAAUCUUUAAAUAAUUACUUAAAAGCUUGAGCCAAGUACUUUAUACAUCGCACCAAGCUGACAAGACUUAACGCACCCCUUUCCAAUUAGGGUGAUCAUUCAUCUAAUGUAAAACGGCAACGGAACGACAGCUGUCCGGAGAUUAACUCUUAAUAGUCCCAUUAAGCCCAGCUGAGCAUAACAAUGGCCGUCUUAUCAAAUGAAAGAACUUUGUGUGAUAUUUUUUUAGUUCUAGAAAUUACGGAUUUUUCUGCGGAAUACCAUAGCGAGAUCACUGAUUGGCGCUACUGUUUCGACCACUAAAAAUGAUUUAACUAUGUUCCUUUUUAUGGCUAGUACAAUUUAAGUUUAGUAAAUCUUAAAUUGUUUCUCACGAAUACAUUAAAACCCCUUGUAUUCGGAACUAAUAAAGUUAAUGCUUGUACAAGGUUAAAAACGCUAGAUAACUUUGGAAUGGCCAUAAAAUGCGUACCUAAUUUAAGUCUACAAGAUUUUUUUAUCACCUAUGGCUUGCUUGUUUCGCAGUUUAGUAGGUAUUUAGUAGGUAAUCGAAACAUAAAAAAAACAUGACAUGAAAUCCAAAGACAAGAAAUAUUUAAAGACUAAAUUAUUAUAGUAAAAUUAUUUAUCGCAUUAGCUCCUCUGCUAUAAUGUUACCGACGUAAAUAUUUAAAAUGAAAAGAUAUACGAUGCGGUUUACCGUGUGUUUUUACGUAAUAAAAAUAAGUUUGGCUUAGAGUUUAUCACAGCUUUUGUGCCUUAAUAAAAUACUUGUAAAAUAGUGUUUAAUUUGUAGACAUUAUUAAUUGUUGUCGUCAUCGUCAUAAAUAUUACAUAUUGUUUUGAAAUCCAGCUUCCACUUUCUUUUUCACAUAAGCGUACCGGCUUCAAAUUAAAUCCAGUGAGCCAGAGAAUUGGAUCAAAUAACAGCUAUUUUAUUUUUCAUGUAAAAGAAUCAACAAAAUCUGUCUACCAGUCCAAAGAUGUAAGAGACAUAAAAAAAAAUCAUCAGUACGAUAGAAAGUCUUGCUCUAAAUUAACUUAACCUUGAUAAUUAAAAUCAUAAUUUAAAUUCUAGGCGUACCAGUGACGCAUGAUUUGGCAAGCAAAUAAUUGAUGAGGCAAAAAAAUCUGGCGAAGCGCCGCCGCCAUCAUUUAAAUUACAGUUACAUCUGUCUAUGACAAAACCGGAUAUGCGAGUGUAUUAUUCACCUUGACAUUGUAUCAGAUAUAUUCGUAUCACGAAAUUAGCUUAGUGGAUAAUUGUAUUUUUUUUUGUAAUUCACGGAAGGUUUGAAUCUUGUGCAAAAAAAUAUUUUGUCCUCUUGCACGCGCAAAAUUAUCAGAUAGCUAAAUACAAGUGUUACCCGUCAUCACAGAUAUAAAAGAGACAUAUUUCAACAGCUGGUAGCCUUCUUCAUCGAUCGAAUCAUAUUCAUGAAUCCUUCUGCAUUUAGGCAGUGACAGCUACUGGUAUUAUAUUUUUAAUUGUUCCAUCUCAGUUCUGUUUACACACCAUCGGCAGUCCAUUUAACAAUGGAUCUUCACGUACGCAAUACUAAAUAUUUUCAAAAAGAAUAUCUCAUAUAAAACCUUUGUUACAUUAUUAAACAAAAUGCAGUGGCCAUCAUACAAUGAGAUUGUUUAUCAUCAUUAUGUUAUACACAACCUUAUAAAAUGAGCUUAAACGACAUGGCACUGCAAUACUGUCAAAUUAUUUAUUUGAAAUGGUUUUUUACGCGUAUUUACAGAAACAGGUUUUGAUUAUAUUCAGGAAAAAAAAACUGUAUCAUUAAGAUGUUUUUUUUUUUUCCUAAAAAAACAGUUCUACUGCCGAUGGGUAAAGGCAAAACAAUUCAAAUAAAUACAAUGUCAAUCUUCAUAACUAUUUCGUUAAUUACUUAUGAACGAAAUUCCAUUAUAAGUUAUCCGGAAAUCAUCUUUAAGCGCCGGUUUUAACUUCCAUCUCUAGACAAACGAUGAGCUACGAUUAUGUGUCGAACGGUAAGUAAAGUGCGUACUAAUACCGGCUGGCUAAUUGCAGACAACGUGAAGUGUGUAACGGGACUCACUGUCAAGUAAAUACCUAUUACCUGCAGUGUACUCGAGUACCAUAUCAGAUAUUACGUGAUAACAGAUUGUUUAUAACAAUCGUUUUCAUCAACGGAAAUCUUUUACCAUGCCACUUCAGAUGAUUGCAAUUUCUACGAUCGUUAACCGAGAAAGAAUUAGUUGAAUGUGUAGUGCUUGAAGUUGUCCUAAGUAUUGUGAUAUGGCGAAAAUUAAUGUCACUUUUAUCAUUAACGCUUGAAAAAACGUUCAAUCUAUAUGGUCUUGUGUGACAAGAGCUUUCUUAAAUUUCGUAAAUGAUUGAUUGAUUUCGCCACGAACAUAAAAAAAUACUAAAUUAAAUUUAGUACGUAUCCUGUUCCAGAUUUCCAAGCAGUUGUGAGUAGAUAGAUGUAGGUACUUAGUUCCUAUUAGCACAUUAUGAACGCAAUAUGAUGCAUAUACUAAGAAGUUUUACACCAUGUCUAGAUAUUGAAUAAAAAGAGGAAAUUCUUAAAAAAAAACGAUGCUUGUUCAACAUUGUACUUAUUUGUUUCUAGUAAUAAUUAGACUAAUGCUCUCGUAACAUUUUAUUACUGCAAAAGACUGCAUAAUUACAGCAAUUUGAAACCGUAAAAUCCCUGUAAAGAUGCUAUCUGUAUGACGCCAGUAGAAUAGCUCCUACCAUUAACGUUGUCCGUCACGAUUCUACAGAAAAAUCGUGUCCAUGUUAUAAAAGCUUAGUCAGUGUUGCAAAUUAAAAAAAUAGGAAUAUAUUUUUAAAGUUCUAUUGCUUUAUCCGGUAAAACCUGCUUUUUAUCACCGAUAUAUAAUACAUAAGAUUAUAAUUUCGGUGUGAAUUGUAAUCGUAAUUUUGUGGUUAAUUUUCAGCCUCAAAUAGUUAGAUUUUUUGUUACGUGGUAAUCUUUAAUAUCGAUAUGGAACCGAUUAAAGUUAUUAAGUUCUAAAAAUAAUGGAGAAGGUCAACGGUUCUUAACUUACUAAUACCGUGUUAAGUCGGUCAAAGACCUGGAGUCUCACCUGAACCCGGAUAUUAUGAUCUAAGUAUUUUACUUUUUUUUACUAUAGUCUAGAAUCUAGGGAAAUUCUUAAACCCGUUAAAACUUGUUAAACCUGUACGAUUAUUUGUGAAUUCGUAAAGGCAUGUUGACCGUCAAUCAAUCGAUAAAAAACUACAAAUUGCGUCCUUAAUUAAGUUAUACAAUUAAAACUAUGAUACCUACUCUUAACGCACGUCAUUUCAAAUCUGCAUCGUUGAGAACGAAGCUUAGCCAUCCGUGACUGCCAUGGCGCCAGUUAUUUUUUAACCACAUAAUUUAUUAUUCUAUUAGUCAAAAAUUCUUUAUGUACAAGAAUGGAAUUCAAUCUGAACGGGGUACCGCCAGUCGAUAAUAACACCUCCUGCAUUUUCAAGCUUUCAAGUCAAUUUUCGCACUUAGUCAUUACUGUGGCCAAGAAUGUCCAUUAUACUUUAAGAUUUAAGAGUAAGACUAGUGCUUACGUGAAAGAAAGACACCGAUAUACGUAGGCGAAUCCUCCCGAAAGUACAGGCACACUUUACACAAAUCAACCGGUAUUCCUUAGUACCAGACAUCCAUUGACAAUAUUUGCUCGAGCUCUAACUAAAUAUAAUUUAUUGUUUGUUUCUCAUAUGCACGUAGGUGGUGCUAUUUUCGAAAAUGUCAAACAAUUUAUUUAAGGUUUUGGUCGUGGCACACUUAUUUCGAUCUUGGAAAUAUUAUGCGGGUUUAAGGGGAAGCUAAAGAUGAAAAUCCAAGGCCUUUAAAAAUAAAUUUUAUUGCUUGCAAAUUUUCAAUCAUUGAAUUGGAAAAUCCACAAAUAAAAAAACUAUUUGUACAGAACCCUUAGUACCGAGAGUCCGCCUCGCACUUAAAAUUUUAUUUAUUGCACAUCCACAUGUCAAUCUCCCAAUAACCCUCAUCAAGCCGGGUGAUAAACCCCAGUUCCAAUGACUCUCAAACAAGUUGUAACGGAUUUACAUACUAUAGUGACAAGCUUAUUUACUAUGACUUAAAUACGACUGUCCCUUGUGAAAGCGAGACGGCACUAUGCGCUAUGUUAAGCGUUGUCCCGCUCCUACAAAGGCUUGCUGUACCACCUAUAGAUCAUAGUACAGGCCACCGGUUUUGUUUCUGUUGCCAACACAUGACGUAUAGUCAUGUGACGUUAAGUUAAAACAGACAUAUUCAAUAUUUGUACAGUUAAACUUAUAUUUAACUGGUCAUGUGACCGGAACAACUGUCGUUAAAUAUGAGCAAGAAUUGUAUAAUUUUUGGCAUAUUUACAACUCUUUGUUACAGGAAAAUAAUGGAUUUAAUUAAUUAUUGGUCACUGACUCGCUUUUAAACUAAAAUUAUAGUCGCAAGACUCAAAUUAGCUUUUUAACUUUUUUUGUAUUGAGGUGACCAAUGUUUUUCUUGGUGUGGUGUCUAUUCUUUAUUCCUAUAAAAUUAUAAUUGCGGAGUCCUCAAUUUCUCUUGUGUUCCCAUAUGGGCUCAACAAAAAAAUAAUAAGGUCUUGUUAAUUACGGCAAAGGCCACGUCUUACAUAGGAAAUAAAAAUGGCAAUGCAAUAAAAUCAAAACUAGAUAUUAACUCAACUACAAGCGACAUAUAAAGUCCGCAAUGUCUGGAUUAAUAGAAGCGGUAACAGGAAAACAGUAUUUCAGUAGGUAGUCGGUACCUAACUGUAUUUCAGUACUUACUUAAGUUUCAAAGCAGUAAUUAUUUUUGUUCCGAAAUUAGCAUACGGCAAAUUGCCACACGUGGUUUUGACAGUUAGACAUCAUUUGCCUAAUGUUACGCGAAACUGGGUUAUUUAAGACUAAGAGGCGGGAAGACGGGAAGCGAGAUAGAAAUACCUGGCGUAGAGCAGUGUCUCACUUGGUUUUUAUUUAGGCUCCCUAAAACUAUAAGAAUUAGAGUAGAAAUUACUAGUUUUAAGCCCAAUCGAGGUCCAUGGUCAUGACCCCAUAUUAAUUAUAAAUAAUCUGCCUGUAAUGUGUGACGUGAUGUGACUCACCAUGGAUUGAACUAUGGCUCAAACUUCAAAUAAAACUGUAAUGCUAAAAGUAAAUGAAUGACGUCAUCUCUCACAUAUCGGAAGUGCAUGGCCACUUCUAUCAUGCAUGACGUAGUACUAUCAGUACAGAUUCAGUAUAUAGACGGAACUACGUGAUAAUAAGAAUAGCUUAGUAAUAGCUCUAUUGUAAGUGCACAUAUAGGAUUGGUAAAUGGUUAUGUCCCUGAUCGAAACUGACAUGCAUUACGUCAUAAAAUUGUGACGUCAUAUUAAGCCAGUGCAACGUUUUAGAAUCACCUAGCACGACGAUCUGUAACUAUUGUUAUAUACUACCACACAAAUUGCUACUUUUUAUCAGAAUGACAUUUCUCAGGAAUUCCCUCUUAUCGACUUUGGGCUAUGGUUCAACCAUAGUUCAUUGAUAUCUGUUUUAUUAACACACAUUAAUUCUACAAAGAUUUUUAAGAUCAGAAUCAUAGCACCCGUCGAUCACGAGUACAAAAGAUCCUAAUGAGUCAGAGUAAGUAGGCCCGACGUAUUGCCUAUCACAUCCUACUACUAACACCAUUAUACAUAUCACAAAUAAGGUUCGUUACUAAAAAGUGAAAGUAUUCUAUUCUAAGCCUUGCAGACUUAACAUUGUGGGUGGAUGAAAGUCGCCAGUCUUACUUUAAAUUAACAUUGUCAUUAAUGAUUGAUGAACUCUUAAAGAGUCGGCUAAGACUCUGAGGACACCAGUGGUGAUUAUUUAAUGAAACUUGAAAAUAGACCUUAAAACUUUACGUAUAAAGAGUAAAAAUGCUUGACUAAUGUUCUUCGAGAUCGCACUUACAUUUCACAAUUCCUAGUCAAAAGUGUGUGUUUUGUACUUUAUGGUAAUAAAUUUUAAAUAUAUUUUAAAGUGCCAUUCAAAAUUAUUUUCCUUGGCUGAGAUCUUCUCCCGUCGCGUCAACUUUAGAGGAGUCUGUAGGCUGGCAAUGAAUGUAACUUUCGCGCAAUAAUUUGAGAAAUAAAACGUAUUUUCAAAUCUUUUAGUGCUGAAAUACACACUUAUAGCAAUAACAUGUAGUAAAAACAAAUUAAAUGUUGUGUUUAUGUAGUUUUUAUUACGCUUAUUUGCCGUUUUAUUGCUUUAAUAUUCACUACAUUCGUGCCUGGAUUCUUCUUAAAAUAUUUAUAAAUGAGAAAUGUGUAUGUUAUUUAUCUUCUCAUGCACAAAAUAUCUACAAAUAUACUUCUGUAAAAAAAGUAUCCCUAUGUUAUCUCAAAAUCCUCAAAGAAUUAAGUUCUAUAUUCACAUGUAAGUGACAUAAACAGUAAUUAUAACAUAAAAAGAUACGUAGACAUAAUCGUGCUGUUAAUAACAAUUACAUAAGAUGCUGUGAUAUACAGUUAUUCGGCGAGACUCGUAAGCUUUCUCCGACGCAAAUUUUGCACCGCUAGCUAUUUUAGUGUUAUGCGCACAUGGUUUACACGCGUUGCCAAUUUUUUUUAGGAUACCGUCUGGUAGUGAAAUGACGAAACUGAACUGAACGAAACUGGCCGACAAUA